rnacentral:rRNA from 1 species
CGAGCGGUAAGGCCCUUCGGGGUACACGAGCGGCGAACGGGUGAGUAACACGUGGGUGAUCUGCCUCGCACUUCGGGAUAAGCCUGGGAAACUGGGUCUAAUACCGGAUAUGACCUUUCAGUGCAUGCUGUUGGGUGGAAAGAUUUAUCGGUGCGAGAUGGGCCCGCGGCCUAUCAGCUUGUUGGCGGGGUAACGGCCCACCAAGGCGACGACGGGUAGCCGACCUGAGAGGGUGACCGGCCACACUGGGACUGAGACACGGCCCAGACUCCUACGGGAGGCAGCAGUGGGGAAUAUUGCACAAUGGGCGGAAGCCUGAUGCAGCGACGCCGCGUGAGGGAUGACGGCCUUCGGGUUGUAAACCUCUUUCGACAGGGACGAAGCGCAGGUGACGGUACCUGUAGAAGAAGCACCGGCCAACUACGUGCCAGCAGCCGCGGUAAUACGUAGGGUGCGAGCGUUGUCCGGAAUUACUGGGCGUAAAGAGCUUGUAGGCGGUUUGUCGCGUCCUCCGUGAAAACUUGGGGCUCAACCCCAAGC